rnacentral:rRNA from 1 species
GACGUAGGGCGCGAGCGUUGUCCGGAUUUAUUGGGCGUAAAGAGCUCGUAGGCGGUCUGUCGCGUCGGAUGUGAAAAUCAGGCUCAACCCUGGACCUGCAUUCGAUACGGGCAGACUAGAGUUCGGUAGGGGAGACUGGAAUUCCUGGUGUAGCGGUGAAAUGCGCAGAUAUCAGGAGGAACACCGGUGGCAAGGCGGGAUCUCGUGGGCCGA